UUCGGCUGUGUCUCAAUUCAGGGUCUGCAUCCUACCUCGGCCGGAUUCGUCGGCCGGUUACGUCACAGCGCCGCGACUCGGCCUGUCCCAAUUCGAAGACUCCUUCAAAUGCGGUCGACGAAUGCGGCCUUCUUUUCGCCUGAAUGAAGGAUGGGUCGGGUGUAUCCUUCAAUAGGUAGCAUUUCCCAAGAUGCCUUGCGGGCCGGCCGGCAGAAAAACUUAAAAACAAUGGCGGACAGUGAAGCGGGAGCUGUCGGAGAGGAUUGCGCAUAUAAAUGUAAGUAUAAACUUGAAAACUGUCAGUUUAAGGACUUUUUGUGAUACAUGAACGUUAUUUUAGUUAGAAAUGUUACAGUAAAAGUGCUUGUAUUGCGGUCUCGGCUCGUAUGUUCGGCCGCGCUCGGUGUCGUACUUCUCCCACUACGUUUCCCCCUGAUUUUAAUAGAAGUUUGUAUUUUAGGACCAAAAGAGAAAACCAGGGAAUUUAUUAAGCUUAGGGCGGAGAUGGACCACAUGAUCACCGGAGCAAAGUAUUCGGCGGCUGUGGCAUGGAGACUAUUCUGGAGAAAAUGGGCAUCCAGGGGAAGGUGCCAGCGAUGAGCUUCUGGAGCUGAUCUGGGAGGACAUGAGGCUGCAGAGCAGCAGAGAGCACAGGAGAGAAGGAAGAACUUUGACAGCUUUUUACUUUGCUAGAAAAAAAUGGUUAAUGAAGAUUAAACAUGUACAUGUAAAAGAAAUAUCUAAAUAAAAUCAGUUCUGCAUUAAA